GAUGAACGCUGGCGGCGUGCCUAAUACAUGCAAGUCGAGCGAACAGACGAGGAGCUUGCUCCUCUGACGUUAGCGGCGGACGGGUGAGUAACACGUGGAUAACCUACCUAUAAGACUGGGAUAACUUCGGGAAACCGGAGCUAAUACCGGAUAAUAUAUUGAACCGCAUGGUUCAAUAGUGAAAGACGGUUUUGCUGUCACUUAUAGAUGGAUCCGCGCCGCAUUAGCUAGUUGGUAAGGUAACGGCUUACCAAGGCAACGAUGCGUAGCCGACCUGAGAGGGUGAUCGGCCACACUGGAAAUGAGACACGGUCCAGAUUCCUACGGGAGGCAGCAGUAGGGAAUCUUCCGCAAAGGGCGAAAGCCUGACGGAGCAACGCCGCGUGAGUGAUGAAGGUCUUCGGAUCGUAAAACUCUGUUAUUAGGGAAGAACAAAUGUGUAAGUAACUAUGCACGUCUUGACGGUACCUAAUCAGAAAGCCACGGCUAACUACGUG
rnacentral:rRNA from 1 species